rnacentral:tRNA from 1 species
AGUCUUAUAGUCUAUUAAGUAGGAUAUUAAAUUGCAAGUUUAAAGGAAAAUUAAUUUUUAAGGCUU